rnacentral:rRNA from 1 species
UACGUAGGGUGCGAGCGUUGUCCGGAAUUAUUGGGCGUAAAGGGCUCGUAGGCGGUUUGUCGCGUCGGGAGUGAAAACUCAGGGCUUAACCCUGAGCCUGCUUCCGAUACGGGCAGACUAGAGGUAUGCAGGGGAGAACGGAAUUCCUGGUGUAGCGGUGAAAUGCGCAGAUAUCGGGAGGAACACCCGUGGCGAAGGCGGUUCUCUGGGACGGUACUGACGCUGAGACGCGAAAGCGUGGGGAGCGAACAGG